rnacentral:rRNA from 1 species
UACGUAGGGGGCAAGCGUUAUCCGGAAUGAUUGGGCGUAAAGCGUCUGUAGGUGGCUUUUCAAGUCCGCCGUCAAAUCCCAGGGCUCAACCCUGGACAGGCGGUGGAAACUACCAAGCUGGAGUACGGUAGGGGCAGAGGGAAUUUCCGGUGGAGCGGUGAAAUGCAUUGAGAUCGGAAAGAACACCAACGAUGAAAACACUCUGCUGGGCCGACACUGACACUGAGAGAUGAAAGCUAGGGGAGCAAAUGGG